AUUGCACAAUGGGCGCAAGCCUGAUGCAGCCAUGCCGCGUGUGUGAAGAAGGCCUUCGGGUUGUAAAGCACUUUCAGCGGGGAGGAAGGCGUUAAGGUUAAUAACCUUGUCGAUUGACGUUACCCGCAGAAGAAGCACCGGCUAACUCCGUGCCAGCAGCCGCGGUAAUACGGAGGGUGCAAGCGUUAAUCGGAAUUACUGGGCGUAAAGCGCACGCAGGCGGUCUGUCAAGUCGGAUGUGAAAUCCCCGGGCUCAACCUGGGAACUGCAUUCGAAACUGGCAGGCUAGAGUCUUGUAGAGGGAGGUAGAAUUCCAGGUGUAGCGGUGAAAUGCGUAGAGAUCUGGAGGAUACCGGUGGCGAAGGCCGCCCCCUGAACAAAGACUGACGCUCAGGUGCG
rnacentral:rRNA from 1 species